rnacentral:lncRNA from 1 species
AUGGGACUCCCAAUCACAGCCGGAUGUGAUGCAGCCUGGACUUUUAUUAUGAUAUGGGGAAUCAUCUCACUUCCCUGUCCUUCAUCCUGUUCUACAUUUUGUAAUUUUCCAGUGUUAAUCUGUCUGGAUUAUAACAUUUUGUCAGUUUAUUUUGCUUCAUCAGAGUUUAUGCUGCCGGUAGACACUAACAUUUUGUCAGUUUAUUUUGCUUCAUCAGAGUUUAUGCUGCCGGUAGACACUAACAUUUUGUCAGUUUAUUUUGCUUCAUCAGAGUUUAUGCUGCCGGUAGACACUAACAUUUUGUCAGUUUUUUUGCUUCAUCAGAGUUUAUGCUGCCGGUAGACACUAACAUUUUGUCAGUUAUUUUGCUUCAUCAGAGUUAGCUGCCGGUAGACACUAACAUUUGUCAGUUUAUUUUGCUUCACAGAGUUUAUGCUGCCGGUAGACACUAACAUUUUUGCCAUCUAUUUAUUUACUAUGUUUUGGUGUCAUUAAGUUUUCUAUGGUUCAUGGAGGAAUUGUUUGUCAAUUAUCUUGAAUCAGUAUGUCUUCAAAUCUUUUGGUGCAAAGAUUAAACGAUUUCUCCCCCAUAGACUUCUAACAUCA